rnacentral:rRNA from 1 species
UACGUAGGGGGCAAGCGUUGUCCGGAUUUAUUGGGCGUAAAGAGCGUGUAGGCGGUUUGGUAGGUCCGCUGUGAAAACUCGAGGCUCAACCUCGAGACGCCGGUGGAAACCAUCAGACUAGAGUCCGGAAGAGGAGAGUGGAAUUCUUGGUGUAGCGGUGAAAUGCGCAGAUAUCAGGAGGAACACCGAUGGCGAAGGCAGAUCUCUGGGCCGUAACUGACGCUGAGGAGCGAAAGCAUGGGGAGCGAACAGG